GAGUUUGAUCUUGACUCAGAUUGAACGCUGGCGGCAUGCUUUACACAUGCAAGUCGAGCGGCAGCGCGGGGCAACCUGGCGGCGAGCGGCGAACGGGUGAGUAAUGCAUCGGAACGUGUCCCGGAGUGGGGGAGUAACGCCGCGAAAGACGGCGCUAAUACCGCAUAGGCUCUGCGGAGCAAAGACGGGGGAGUCUCGCGAGAGGCCUCGCGCUGUGGGGGCGGGCCGAUGUCCGAUUAGCUGGUUGGUGGGGUAACGGCCUACCAAGGCGACGAUCGGUAGCUGGUCUGAGAGGAUGAUCAGCCACACUGGGACUGAGACACGGCCCAGACUCCUACGGGAGGCAGCAGUGGGGAAGUAUUGGGCAAUGGGCGGAAGCCUGAUCCAGCCAUGCCGCGUGAGUGAUGAAGGCCUUCGGUU
rnacentral:rRNA from 1 species